CCCUUAGAUGUUCUGGGCUGCACGCGUGCUACACUGAUAUUGCCAAUAUGUCAUUCUUAUCCGAAAUGGAUUGGGUAAUCAAGUAAUGAAAUUUCAUGCUUGGAAUCGGUAAUUGCAAUUUUAUUGUGAACGAGGAAUUCCUAGUAAGCACUAGUCAUCAGCUAAUGUUGAUUAUGUCCCUGCCCUUUGUACACACCGCCCGUCGCUACUACUGAUUGGGUGUUCAAGUGAGAUGCUUAGACCCUUGUUGCAUGGUUCAUUAUUGUGCUCCGAAAGGAAAAAGUUUCAAGCUUGAGUGUCUAGAGGAAGUAAAAGUCGUAACA
rnacentral:rRNA from 1 species